AUGGGAAGCAGAAACGAGGGAAGAGGAUUGAAGAUGAACCCACGUUUUAAAAGUCCUUGUCUGCAGGAGGUGGCAUUACCUGUGACCUCGCUUCACUUCUUCAUACAUGGCUGUUGUAGCAGGCCUGCCUCCUUGAGACUUACCCUGGGAAGCAGACUACAUAAUAACUUGAAAAUAUACAUGGGAUGUAAAGCUGAGUGAAGAAGAACAGAACUAGGUCAGGCAGAAAUUCAGUUCUUGCAAAAGAAGAUGCCUGAUGGAAAUACGUAAAUUAGACCUCAGUUUUGAUUUCAGUGGAAAUGAAAAGCAAGAGACCAACAGCAUGAGCAAGUUUCCUGAAUGGUCAGUCAUGUCCCAUUCUUUGUGACCACAUGGACUACCGCCAGACUCCUCUUGUCCAUGGCAUUCUCCAGGCAAGAAUACUGAAGUGGGUUGCUGUUUUCUAUCCCAG
rnacentral:lncRNA from 1 species